UAGCUACAGGCUUAACACAUGCAAGUCGAGGGGCAGCAUGGUCUUAGCUUGCUAAGGCCGAUGGCGACCGGCGCACGGGUGAGUAACGCGUAUCCAACCUGCCUUACACUCUUGGACAGCCUUCUGAAAGGGAGAUUAAUACAAGAUGUUAUCAUGAGUAAGCAUUUUCGCAUGAUUAAAGGUUUACCGGUGUAAGAUGGGGAUGCGUUCCAUUAGAUAGUAGGCGGGGUAACGGCCCACCUAGUCUUCGAUGGAUAGGGGUUCUGAGAGGAAGGUCCCCCACAUUGGAACUGAGACACGGUCCAAACUCCUACGGGAGGCAGCAGUGAGGAAUAUUGGUCAAUGGACGAGAGUCUGAACCAGCCAAGUAGCGUGAAGGAUGAAGGUUCUAUGGAUUGUAAACUUCUUUUAUACGGGAAUAAACGAAUCCACGUGUGGAUUUUUGCAUGUACCGUAUGAAUAAGGAUCGGCUAACUCCGUGCCAGCAGCCGCGGUAAUACGGAGGAUCCGAGCGUUAUCCGGAUUUAUUGGGUUUAAAGGGAGCGUAGAUGGGUUGUUAAGUCAGUUGUGAAAGUUUGCGGCUCAACCGUAAAAUUGCAAUUGAUACUGGCAGUCUUGAGUACAGUUGAGGUAGGCGGAAUUCGUGGUGUAGCGGUGAAAUGCUUAGAUAUCACGAAGAACUCCGAUUGCGAAGGCAGCUUACUAACCUGUAACUGACAUUGAUGCUCGAAAGUGUGGGUAUCAAACAGGAUUAGAUACCCUGGUAGUCCACACGGUAAACGAUGAAUACUCGCUGUAGGCGAUAUACAGUCUGCGGCCAAGCGAAAGCAUUAAGUAUUCCACCUGGGGAGUACGCCGGCAACGGUGAAACUCAAAGGAAUUGACGGGGGCCCGCACAAGCGGAGGAACAUGUGGUUUAAUUCGAUGAUACGCGAGGAACCUUACCCGGGCUUAAAUUGCAGCCGAAUAUGGCGGAAACGCUAUAGCUAGCAAUAGCGGUUGUGAAGGUGCUGCAUGGUUGUCGUCAGCUCGUGCCGUGAGGUGUCGGCUUAAGUGCCAUAACGAGCGCAACCCUUGCCGAUAGUUACUAACAGGUCAUGCUGAGGACUCUGUCGGGACUGCCAUCGUAAGAUGUGAGGAAGGUGGGGAUGACGUCAAAUCAGCACGGCCCUUACGUCCGGGGCUACACACGUGUUACAACGGGGGGUACAGAGGGCUGCUACCACGCAAGUGGAUGCCAAUCCCAAAAACCUCUCUCAGUUCGGAUUGAAGUCUGCAACCCGACUUCAUGAAGCUGGAUUCGCUAGUAAUCGCGCAUCAGCCACGGCGCGGUGAAUACGUUCCCGGGCCUUGUACACACCGCCCGUCAAGCCAUGGGAGCCGGGGGUACCUGAAGUGCGUAACCGCAAGGAGCGCCCUAGGGUAAAACUGGUGACUGGGGCU
rnacentral:rRNA from 1 species